GGGGGUGAAAGGUUUCGACAGGAAUCGUUGUUCAAAAUUAGCAAAUCCAGUCCUCUGGAAUCUGGUAAAACUUCCAGAACCUAGAUAUAAGUGCCAACUUAUUUUCUAAACCCGCUUUAGCAAUAGCUUAAGCCAUCUGGCCUUAACCAUUCUCGAUAAUAAGGCUGGGUGUCAUAAAUCGAGAUAGGCAGCUGCCAAGUCUUCUAACAGCCCGCCAAACCCUUAGAAGAUAGAAACAAUGGGAAUUUUGUCUGUUUUUAAUCCCUUGCUUCGAAAUACAAAAUGGACUAAAUUUGUAGAUAGAUUUUGUUCACACUUCUGGACGGGACUUCAAUGUCCCCACCUCCACAU
rnacentral:tmRNA from 1 species